CUAGGUCUUAUUAAAAAAAAGCCCCUCGUCUUUUUUUUUUAUAAUGCCCGGCUUGGAAAUUAAAAAAAAGAAGAAAUCCUUUCUUCUUUUCUUUCAUGUGAACGGCCUUAUCUUGUAAAGAAUGGUUUUUCGUGCUUAUACACCACGUUGAGAAAGACCAACCAACAACACAAAUAAAGACCGUACCAUUUUGGUACCUCGAAAGGGAGGUGCUCCUUAUGAUGCUACGGACGGCUGUCCGAAGUGCAAUGACGGGCUCAGAUAGGAUAGGAUUGUGCGUGCCGGGCCCUUCGGGUGUCGAUAUUUUGGCCGAGUUCCCCGUAGCGUAGGCCCACGGACUACAUGGCUAGUUUCUGAAUGGUCUGCCGAUCUCUCGGUCUAGCGUCGGGAGUUGUUGCUCUCGUACCUAUAGGUACAGACUACAGCGGCAGAUUCAAGCGCAUGAGUUCAGAGGGAUCAGUUGAACGUCUAUAGAUCGUGAUUUGAAUAUGAAGUGGAUUCCAGGGACAGCUGCUUCUAUAA
rnacentral:lncRNA from 1 species